rnacentral:lncRNA from 1 species
CCCUCCCUUUCACCCUUCCUGCUUCACAGGGUUGUGCUGGCAAAAAAUAACAGUGGAGAUAAAGCUGGUCCUGGAGUACCGGUAUUCACCAUUCAAUUAAGUACUGAAGUUACAACAGCGCUGAAAAAGCUGGUUUAUGAUUGGUCUUCCUGGUUAUAACAAGGACCAUGUAAUCAAAUUUGGGCACUUGGCCACUGGAAAUGAAGCAGGAGAGUUGCUCCAGAUGACCUCCCUGGAAUGAAGAUGUCCUCCUUAGACCCUCUGCCUCCCGCCACGCCUCCCUCUCAGAAACCCACUCGCAUUAUCAAGCCACGCCCACCCACCAGGCCACGUCCUUACCUGCCCCCCAGGCCAGACUCUGCCAAGCUGCUCCAGGUCCCUACCCCUCCUUUGCCUCUGGAGAAGGACGGGUGCUCUCUGGCCACCGAACACUCAGGCGGCCUACCUCAACCCUUGCACAAGCUGCAGAAAUCUGGCGCUGUUCGCAAGAUUGUGGUCCAUUUUGAUCAAAUGGGUCCUCCGGAAAAGGAGGAAGCUGAAAAAAUUAUCCGGUCGCUGCCUUCCAGCUGCCAGAAGGAUGAGAACAAGGAAGAAAAAGCCAUUGGAAAACAAGAGAUCCCGGAUCGGUUGGAUCCUUGCAAGGAUACCCAGCCAUCAGUAUUAUCUGAGGUGGAGCAAAACGGACUGGAUUUUCCCACUUCCUGCCUGUCUGGCUGCCCCUGUGUUUGCCAUCAGCAGAACCCAGGCAUGGUCUUGGUUUGGGUCCCUGCAACGUCCCAGCUGCAGGAUACGGAGAAUGGGUUGGCUGCGGAUCUAUCAUCGUCUGCUGAUGAAGGGGGAGCCUCCUUCCAAAAAUUCUCAGGACUUGGUGCCCUGCCUGCCCCACCUUCCUCCACCGCAGCGGCCAGGGUCCCAAAAUCUCGCCGUUCAUCCCGAAGCAAAAAGCCCCUGGACUCCCCACCGUCCACCAACGGGCACCCCGAAGGAGGUGUCGUCCUGACAAGCUACCGUUCCACAGCCGAGCUCCUUCCUCAACGCUGCCCGCCUUUGAUGCCCAAGCCGCCCCGUCGCAACAAAGGGAGUGCCUCUGUCUCUCUGGAUGGCGAGCUCCUACCUCCGGCCAUCCCACCCAAAGCCCCCAUGAAACCACCUCGCAGCUCCUUGGGGCCCUCGGCUCGCAGGAGUUCUCUCCAAUACCCGCUUGAGUUGAACCACCUUCCUGGCCGAGUCUCCCCUUUUGCUGUUGGGGAAGGCUUCGUCAUGUUGCCUCCCCC